CUCAAGGAUUAACGCAAUUGAGAUUGGUUAUAAUCGGUGCAAAUUUAGAUAUAUAUCUUUCACCAAUUUCCACUUUAUUGUGCACCAAAUGCUUAAUAUAUGCCCAAGUUAGAAAAGUUUUAGAAUAUGCCAUCAAUUGUAGCUUGGAGGUCAGCAUAUUAAAUUUGAAGGAAAUCGGCUCAGAUAUAGCUAUAGCUACCAUUUAUUUUAUUUUAUUUGAUAUUUAUGUCCCCAAAAGGCAUAAUUUGCACUCUACAACAUUUAUCGAUAUAGCCUAGAAAUACCUGUUUGUGUGAGAAACGUUACAGCAGCUUUUACUGAACAUACCCCACAUAAGCACUGUUGCUUUUUAUUCUUCUUGGUUGUUACUCUCUUUCUCUUAUUAUGGCAAUUGUAUUGCAAAACUGUGUUCACUAUUAUAAAUAUAAUAUAUAUUAUAAAUAGAGCAAGAACAAACACAAUUACCCAAGGGAGAGAAAGAGAUUUGAUAACGCUAAUUGCUCAGAAAAAAAUAACCAGUAUUCUAAUAAGAAGAAACAUCAGAGCAAGGAAGAAGCGCUGUUUGCUUAGUAAAAGAACGUCCCAGCAGUCCGCUCGCCAUUACAAUUUAAUACCCAUCCGAAUGUAUGCUAUUUUGUCAAUUGGAAAAAAUGAAAUAAAAGUGGUUUAUAGCAUACAACUAGCAUCUGAUUUGGAUGAGUCGCAUUGCUAUUACAUUGUGGAACAAAAUCCACAUUAGAAUUAAAGAACAAAACAAAAAAUAAAAUGUGUCCAUCGCACUUGCAUCUGAAUCGGAUGCCUUUGUAUUGUUUUGUAAGUUUUUUUUGUGUGUUGUUGCAGCCGGUGUUGUACCGUUAUUCAUUUAUGAUGCUUUUUUCUUUUUAAAAGCAAAAUUUUAUUCUGUGAAGUGUUUUUGAAAGUGCAAGUUGUGAAUAUUGAACAAAAGUUAUUAAAAUAAAUUAAUAAAAUAAGAAUAUAGUAAGUGUUGUUUGUUAAAUAAGUUAAAUAAAAUGUCAGGACUCAGUAGGAGUAAUUUAAGACGGUUAAAGAAAGUAGAAUUAGACAAUUUUAAAAUAAAUGCACAGUUGAGGACGGACUGUUUGGAAAACAAUGAUAUUCUACAAAAUGAGCAGAUUCCAUGCAUUCCAAAAUUGUGGAAGAUUUUGGAAAAUAUGUUAGUAUCAUAAAAGUUAUAAUUUCACCAGAUGGCCUUAUUAAAAUAAGGCCAGAUGGUACCCGAAAUAAAAAGGCGUUUAAGGAAUUUAAACUUUUAAAUAUGGCCAUUUUCGAAGCUGUCCGAUGUGAAGGAUUCUAUGAACAAGAUUACGCCAAAAAAUUAGAAAUUGUUUCAAAUUCCAUAAGGCCAGACACUUCCGAACAAUGUCCUACAAUAAAAAAACUGGAAAAUGUAAUUUUUUCUUUUUCUUUAGUUUAAACUUUAUUUCUUCCCACGUCUUUUGAAAAACAUUUAUGAAUUUAUGAAUUUCUUUUUUAUGCAUUAUUUCUAAUUACAAUAAGAAUAUUUUAUUGUUGAAACACUGUUCUAUAAUACGAAUAUUUUAAUAAAAAAACAGCUGAAAUUUAAGUUCCACAAUUUAAAAUGUGGAUGGAAUCGGACCCAUCCAACCUUCGCUUACAAUGUUUAUAGAUUUCGGACCCAUCCAACAUUCGCUUACAUUGUCGGUCGAUAUCGGACCCAUCCAACAUUCGCUUACAUUGUCUUUAGAUUUCGGACUCGUCUGACGGCCUAGGCCAUCGCUGUGUAAAUAUAAGUAGAAAUUGUAUACAGGCUUUGGAUGGGUCGCACCUACAUUGUCAUUGGUCUCAGAUGGAAGAUGUAUGUGCUAAAAAAUCCGCUGGGGUACUUGUUAAUUUGUCAUUCUAUUUUCGACGCCGAGGAGAAAUGUUCAUUGGAACAUUAAUAAAUACAUUUUUAUAGUUAGGAGGAAAAAGUCCAUCUUUUCGAAUCUAAUAUACAUGAGGAAGAGAAUAAGUAAGAAAAUAAUAUUAUUCUUGUUAUAACAACGCUGAUCGUUGGAUUAUUACUCGCGGAGAAUGGACGGCUAAUUAAUGGGCAAUAUAUAAAGGUGGUGUAAAAUAUUGCCCAUGGGUCAUCGCUAUUAAUGAUUGAUGGUAAGCAGUGUUAUUUAUAUGUUGAUGAACAUUGCUAGUGGAGCAAAUAUUACUAACAAUUGGGAAAAGAUCAAUUGCCUGUUCAUUAGACAAAUGCAGUGUUCAUUGGUGCAUCACGGGUAAGAAGUUUGUGUUGUUUUGUCGCCAAAUCGGAAUAAUAUUAACAAUUAAGAAAUAAUUCCACUACAUUCAAAUAGUUUCAUUGUUCCAAGGGAAUUAAUUGAUGGCAGUUGGGUUGAGCAGGAAUUUUGUAUCCCUGGUGAUUAGUCGUAGUAAAGUUUGGGGAAUGGUCCCAGCUGUACUCUUGUCAAAUUUGUAGGAUAUCGGUUUAGAUAUGGAUAUAACUUCCAUAUUAAUCUUCGUUCGAUUUCAAUUUUACUGUGCGCCAUAUGUGCCAUGGUAUAAUUAAGAAAGUAAAGUCAAUUCAAAGAAGCAAUCCCAUCUCUGCAUUUUGAAUUUUGUUUUUCAAAUUUCACAGGUUCCCAUCUCUGAUAUGUGUAUUUACAAUUGAUUUGUAAAUAUAUAUUUUGGCAAUAAGAUGUUGUCAAAUGAAUAAUUGCAUGACCGACAUAGUCGAUUUUCGCACCUGAACUAGCAUGGAUGCAAAUAUUAGGAUUUGCAAAGUUGGAGCAAACUCGGAUUAUCCUUUCUCUGUCUGUGCAGUAAAAAAUAUUUUUUUUUACCUUUUGUGGGAAGGCACUAAAAGGAGUGGUCCGAACUCGAUCUAAGUUUGAUAACAAUAUUACAGUUUACCAAGUUCGGGCGAAAUCGUAUACUCCCUUCGAGAGUUUUCGAGCACAACAGCCAAACAGACAGACGGACGGACGGACAUCGCUAGAUCGACUUCAAAUGUUCUGAAACGGUUUUGGUCCAAAGAGACCUUGGGUCUAAAACCGUUAUUUCGAUGAGGCGUGAUUUGGCCGUAUCAAAUGAUAUAUAUCCUCUCUAUGGCUGAGGGUUUAAUUAGAAGAUAUACGAGAUCUUGAGAUCAUUUAAAAGUAGAAUUGAAGGUAUUUUAUAAAAAGUUGAUUCAAAACCUCUUUUAUAGGAAGAUGCCCUUAAGGCUUCUUUAAGAUUGCUUGCAGGACUUCUCUUAAUCUUCUACAAGAUUAUUUGCUAAUUUUUUUCUGUGAAUA